GCCGGAUGACUGGGGGUGAGAUCCUCCAACUGCCCGUGGACCAAAAGCAUCUCGGGCCGGUCUCCCCAGGAUGUCUCCCGAGCAGGGACAAGCCUCUCUGCAAGUGCCCCUGAAGGCAAAGCCAUGGAGGAAGCCCUGACCCAGCCAGAGAGCACAGACCCUGACUCAGCCUUGGAAACACCUGCCACGAGGUGAGCAUGCGUGUGGUGAGGCCAUGAGAGCACAGCUGAGGGAUGACAGAGCAAGGACGAUGAACAGACACAAGUGCCAAGCCACAGGGGUCCUCCAUGGUCACUACCACUGGAAUCUUCUGGGCACUGACCCCUCUUAGUCUCUGGCUGCUGCUGGCCUGCUGAGACGGCCCAGUGACAGUCAACUUAAACCACUGCUGCAGAAGCAGGCUGAAAGAAACGGUCUGAACCUUCCUUGUCAUGCAGGGUGGGCGGUGGCUUCAUGGAUGACCACCUGCCCCAUGGUGUCCGGUCUCCCAUCCUCUCUGCUGCGUAGAGCAAGGCGAUCCAGGGAGCCCCGGGGACUCCAGCAGAGUCAGGUUUGGCCUGUCUUUGUACACUGCACCAAUCUCUUUCCUUUUCACCUCCUUCACAAUGGAGUGUUUGAAGUUAUCAUGGUAAUGAUCAACUACUCGCUGUACCAGGCAUUAGCCAGUCUUCAUCCGGUCAUCCAGUUUCUCUUCUGGGAACAUGGCAGGGUCAUACUCCAGCGCCUCUGAAGUUAGGGACAGCCAUGCGUCUGGCUUUGGCCACUCAAGUCAAAAUGAAUUCGCUUCUGAGUCAAAACCUGCAGGGACAGUGACAGCCAAGGAAGCCAAACUACUGGGCUGACGUCACUGUGGGUCCAUGAAUGAGACAAGUUGAGCUGUGGCACAAAAACAGCUCACAGGCGGCUACUGAGCCUGUGAGAUGCGGCUAGCCCAAAAUACACACGUUAGUUCUUAAACUGGCAAGACAAAAAGAAAUUAUCUCCAAGUGUUAUUCUAUUGGUCCUAGUUUGAACCUUGGAUAUAUUGGGUUAAGUAAAAUAUUAUUAAAAUUAACUUCGUUUAUUUUAAAAUAUUUUUGAAAUGUGACUAGAAUGAUGUAAAUUAGCUUUGUGACUCACUGUAUUUCCGCAGAAGACUCAGCCAGCCUAUGACAAAUAAUGGAUAAAGGGAAAAUAAAUUUAACAACUUCCCAAGCUAUUUUUAAAAAUUAACUUUAAAAUUAAAAAAAUUUAUUUUUUGACGGGUAUGAGUUAUGUCUGCAUGUAUGUAUGUGAAACACAUGUGUGCAGACUCUGUAGAGGCUGGAGGUUGGAGGGGAUUACAGAUGGUGGUGAGCUGACAUAUGGAUGCAAGGACCGAACCUGGGCCUUCCCUAUAACCUCUUAACCACUGACCCAUUUCUCUAGCCCAAUUAAAUUAACUUUUGUUUAUUUUGCAUGUAUAUGUUUGGGGUGAAUGCAUGCCAUUGCUUGUAAGUGUGUGGAAGUCAGAGGACAGCCUGCAGGGACCACAGGGGACUUGAACUCAGGUCAUCAAGCUUGGGAGCAAGCCCCUCUAUCCACUGAGCUGUCUUGCUGGCCCACCUUGCAUUGUUUUAAGCGGUUUUGAGACUGUCACUGAAGCACACCUAAACUCAUGUGGAUGAGCCAUUUACUCACUGGUCGUUCCUUACUUCCGCUGAGCUUAGAAGCACACCCAGCUGGACUUCUCUGCACGUCCUCCUUGCUGUGACUGGGCGCAGCUGUGACAAAGCUCUGGGUUUCCCGCAGCAGCAAUGAUGCAAUGGUCACAGCUAGUGCCACCCAUCUCCUGCCCACGAAUGUCGACCUCAGGUCUGAGGCUUGGAACUUAGAACUCAUCUCAGGUAUGAGGAAGGAGGCACGCAGACCAGGGACAGGCGAGCAGAAUGAUGUCCAGACGGAAGAACACACAGUCUGGGUUUCCCGGGUCAUCACCAGCCUAGCAGCUGACUGACUCAGCCUCCGCACGUGAGAAAGAUGACCAGCUUAAGCUGUUGGUUGUCCGUUUGCUUUUACCUGCUGCCCAAGUCAGUGCCGUCUGAUGGCAGGUGCUUUCUGGGUGAUGGUGUACGGCUGAAGUUGCCAAAACAUCUGAUAUUGUCUUUGUCCCUGUCAGCAGAGUUUGGUUCACUCUGCCUGAAGUUAUGUGCCCUCUUUACGCCAUGCUUCUGGUCACCCUCGGCAGCCACGGAGAAAUCAGAGUCUGAACUCAGACAUUCACACCAAAAAGCAUCUCCCAGGCCCCGUGGAAGCUCACAGAGACUGAACCACCAACCAAAGCAUGUGUGGGCCGGACCUGGACCCCCCACACAUAUGUAGCAGAUGUGCAGCUUGUUCUUCAUGUGGGUCCCCGAACAAUGGGAGCAGGGGCUGCCUCUGACUCUGCUGCCUGCCUUUGGAUCCCUUUCCCCUAGCGGGCUGCCUUGUCUGCCUCAGUGGGAGAGGAUGCGCUUAUCCCGCUGUGCCAUGGGGGUUGAUAUCCAUGGCAGGCCGCCCCUUCUCUGAGGAGAGGGGAGUGCGGGAAGAGGGAGAUGGGGGUGUGAGGGUGGGACUGGGAGAGAGGAAGGAGGGGACUGAGAUCAGGCUGUAAAGGGAAUUAAUUAAUUAAAGGGGGGAAAAAAGCACCCACCAGCCCAGGGCUAGCUUUCUGACAUAUACAAUUUCUGCUCUGUAAGCUUUUACCCCCUCAGUAACCUGGACAUGUGUAUGCGUCUCAUACAGUCUUCUGUCCUUUAGAAGAAACCUCUGCGAUUGCGUUCCCUGGAAACGAGAGAAUGUGCUCAGGUAGCUCAUAGGGUGUGUGCUAUGCACAGAGCCUCACCAGCACAUAUGUGGACACUUGCUCUCCUUCUGCCUCGUCCUUUAGGAACCAACAAGCCUUUUAGGGGCAGGCACAGUCUGUCUUUUUCAGUUCAGGAGAAAAUACUUUUGCUUCUGGAACGUCUGUUUGCCAACAGUUCUAGAUGGCUUCUUUCCCUCCCUCGUGGUUCCCAUCUCUGUGCUUUUGGUCUGAGUUCUAAGAUGUUUCUUCCACUUGCUUCUUCAGAACCCACUUCCAGUUCUCGGAAGUGGAUGAUCUC